CUACGUGCCAGCAGCCGCGGUAAUACGUAGGGUGCGAGCGUUAAUCGGAAUUACUGGGCGUAAAGCGAGCGCAGACGGUUACUUGAGCAGGAUGUGAAAUCCCCGGGCUCAACCUGGGAACUGCGUUCUGAACUGGGUAGCUAGAGUAUGUCAGAGGGGGGUAGAAUUCCACGUGUAGCAGUGAAAUGCGUAGAGAUGUGGAGGAAUACCGAUGGCGAAGGCAGCCCCCUGGGAUAAUACUGACGUUCAUGCUCGAAAGCGUGGGUAGCAAACAGGAUUAGAUACCCUGGUAGUCCACGCCCUAAACGAUGUCGAUUAGCUGUUGGGCAGCUUGACUGCUUAGUAGCGUAGCUAACGCGUGAAAUCGACCGCCUGGGGAGUACGGUCGCAAGAUUAAAACUCAAAGGAAUUGACGGGGACCCGCACAAGCGGUGGAUGAUGUGGAUUAAUUCGAUGCAACGCGAAGAACCUUACCUGGUCUUGACAU
rnacentral:rRNA from 1 species